rnacentral:lncRNA from 1 species
AUGACAGAAGAGCUAUUAAUAAUAGUCCAAGCAUUGGGUGUGAAAAUACCUAGACUUCCUAGAACCACAGCUGAGAAUCAGAGUGGUGGUCAAUUUUACCAUUACUGGCAGCUCUCACUCUCAAGAACACAAAGCUAUGGGAUUUCAGACUCAAAAAGAUUUUUAACAGAUUUGAGCACACAUCAGGUAAUUAAAAGAUGGCUACACAUUUCAUCUGCUAACUCAUGGCCAGGCAUUCUGAACAGAUUAGUCAAUCAGCUUAAAUCCUCAUACCGUGUUGAUGCACAGGUUUUGAGACUAACACACACUCUGGUGGUUCACAAAUAGGAGCGGUACCAGAAACUUCUUUGAUGAUUGAGCCAGAAGGAGCUCUGCUAUACCUCCUUUAGCUGUUCGAAAUCAUGGUUGUAUCUGGUGAUAGCAAGACACUUUUUUGCAGACACCCCAGAUAUUAGCAUAUUAAUAGCUGUAACUAAACUGAGAGUUAAACAGACACAAAUUGGGGUUCUGUCUUGCGAAUUAUCCAUGCAUAAAACUCCCAAUGACUUCAGUGGCAAUAGCGGCACAUUCAGAAUUGGGCCUAUGAUGCUGACUAGAGCUGUGCCAACCCUGUAUAAUAAAACCCAGAACUAGGUGGCUUGAAACCCA